GGUCAAGUUAUUAAGGGUGCAGGGCGGAUGCCUUGGCACUAGGAGCCGAUGAAGGACGUGAUAAGCUGCGAUAAGCUUCGGGGAGUUGCACGUAAACUUUGAUCCGAAGAUUUCCGAAUGAGGAAACUCACUUAGAGUAAUGUCUAAGUAUCAUUAAGUGAAUACAUAGCUUAAUGAGGGGAACUCAGGGAACUGAAACAUCUAAGUACCUGAAGGAAGAGAAAGAAAUUCGAUUCCGUAAGUAGCGGCGAGCGAACGCGGAUUAGCCCA
rnacentral:rRNA from 1 species